rnacentral:rRNA from 1 species
GGGUUGUGAGGUUAAGCGACUAAGCGUACACGGUGGAUGCCCUGGCAGUCAGAGGCGAUGAAGGACGUGCUAAUCUGCGAUAAGCGUCGGUAAGGUGAUAUGAACCGUUAUAACCGGCGAUUUCCGAAUGGGGAAACCCAGUGUGUUUCGACACACUAUCAUUAACUGAAUCCAUAGGUUAAUGAGGCGAACCGGGGGAACUGAAACAUCUAAGUACCCCGAGGAAAAGAAAUCAACCGAGAUUCCCCCAGUAGCGGCGAGCGAACGGGGAGCAGCCCAGAGCCUGAAUCAGUGUGUGUGUUAGUGGAAGCGUCUGGAAAGGCGCGCGAUACAGGGUGACAGCCCCGUACACAAAAAUGCACAUGCUGUGAGCUCGAUGAGUAGGGCGGGACACGUGGUAUCCUGUCUGAAUAUGGGGGGACCAUCCUCCAAGGCUAAAUACUCCUGACUGACCGAUAGUGAACCAGUACCGUGAGGGAAAGGCGAAAAGAACCCCGGCGAGGGGAGUGAAAAAGAACCUGAAACCGUGUACGUACAAGCAGUGGGAGCACGCUUAGGCGUGUGACUGCGUACCUUUUGUAUAAUGGGUCAGCGACUUAUAUUCUGUAGCAAGGUUAACCGAAUAGGGGAGCCGAAGGGAAACCGAGUCUUAACUGGGCGUUAAGUUGCAGGGUAUAGACCCGAAACCCGGUGAUCUAGCCAUGGGCAGGUUGAAGGUUGGGUAACACUAACUGGAGGACCGAACCGACUAAUGUUGAAAAAUUAGCGGAUGACUUGUGGCUGGGGGUGAAAGGCCAAUCAAACCGGGAGAUAGCUGGUUCUCCCCGAAAGCUAUUUAGGUAGCGCCUCGUGAAUUCAUCUCCGGGGGUAGAGCACUGUUUCGGCAAGGGGGUCAUCCCGACUUACCAACCCGAUGCAAACUGCGAAUACCGGAGAAUGUUAUCACGGGAGACACACGGCGGGUGCUAACGUCCGUCGUGAAGAGGGAAACAACCCAGACCGCCAGCUAAGGUCCCAAAGUCAUGGUUAAGUGGGAAACGAUGUGGGAAGGCCCAGACAGCCAGGAUGUUGGCUUAGAAGCAGCCAUCAUUUAAAGAAAGCGUAAUAGCUCACUGGUCGAGUCGGCCUGCGCGGAAGAUGUAACGGGGCUAAACCAUGCACCGAAGCUGCGGCAGCGACACUAUGUGUUGUUGGGUAGGGGAGCGUUCUGUAAGCCUGUGAAGGUGUGCUGUGAGGCAUGCUGGAGGUAUCAGAAGUGCGAAUGCUGACAUAAGUAACGAUAAAGCGGGUGAAAAGCCCGCUCGCCGGAAGACCAAGGGUUCCUGUCCAACGUUAAUCGGGGCAGGGUGAGUCGACCCCUAAGGCGAGGCCGAAAGGCGUAGUCGAUGGGAAACAGGUUAAUAUUCCUGUACUUGGUGUUACUGCGAAGGGGGGACGGAGAAGGCUAUGUUGGCCGGGCGACGGUUGUCCCGGUUUAAGCGUGUAGGCUGGUUUUCCAGGCAAAUCCGGAAAAUCAAGGCUGAGGCGUGAUGACGAGGCACUACGGUGCUGAAGCAACAAAUGCCCUGCUUCCAGGAAAAGCCUCUAAGCAUCAGGUAACAUCAAAUCGUACCCCAAACCGACACAGGUGGUCAGGUAGAGAAUACCAAGGCGCUUGAGAGAACUCGGGUGAAGGAACUAGGCAAAAUGGUGCCGUAACUUCGGGAGAAGGCACGCUGAUAUGUAGGUGAAGUCCCUCGCGGAUGGAGCUGAAAUCAGUCGAAGAUACCAGCUGGCUGCAACUGUUUAUUAAAAACACAGCACUGUGCAAACACGAAAGUGGACGUAUACGGUGUGACGCCUGCCCGGUGCCGGAAGGUUAAUUGAUGGGGUCAGCGCAAGCGAAGCUCUUGAUCGAAGCCCCGGUAAACGGCGGCCGUAACUAUAACGGUCCUAAGGUAGCGAAAUUCCUUGUCGGGUAAGUUCCGACCUGCACGAAUGGCGUAAUGAUGGCCAGGCUGUCUCCACCCGAGACUCAGUGAAAUUGAACUCGCUGUGAAGAUGCAGUGUACCCGCGGCAAGACGGAAAGACCCCGUGAACCUUUACUAUAGCUUGACACUGAACAUUGAGCCUUGAUGUGUAGGAUAGGUGGGAGGCUUUGAAGUGUGGACGCCAGUCUGCAUGGAGCCGACCUUGAAAUACCACCCUUUAAUGUUUGAUGUUCUAACGUUGACCCGUAAUCCGGGUUGCGGACAGUGUCUGGUGGGUAGUUUGACUGGGGCGGUCUCCUCCUAAAGAGUAACGGAGGAGCACGAAGGUUGGCUAAUCCUGGUCGGACAUCAGGAGGUUAGUGCAAUGGCAUAAGCCAGCUUGACUGCGAGCGUGACGGCGCGAGCAGGUGCGAAAGCAGGUCAUAGUGAUCCGGUGGUUCUGAAUGGAAGGGCCAUCGCUCAACGGAUAAAAGGUACUCCGGGGAUAACAGGCUGAUACCGCCCAAGAGUUCAUAUCGACGGCGGUGUUUGGCACCUCGAUGUCGGCUCAUCACAUCCUGGGGCUGAAGUAGGUCCCAAGGGUAUGGCUGUUCGCCAUUUAAAGUGGUACGCGAGCUGGGUUUAGAACGUCGUGAGACAGUUCGGUCCCUAUCUGCCGUGGGCGCUGGAGAACUGAGGGGGGCUGCUCCUAGUACGAGAGGACCGGAGUGGACGCAUCACUGGUGUUCGGGUUGUCAUGCCAAUGGCACUGCCCGGUAGCUAAAUGCGGAAGAGAUAAGUGCUGAAAGCAUCUAAGCACGAAACUUGCCCCGAGAUGAGUUCUCCCUGACCCUUUAAGGGUCCUGAAGGAACGUUGAAGACGACGACGUUGAUAGGCCGGGUGUGUAAGCGCAGCGAUGCGUUGAGCUAACCGGUACUAAUGAACCGUGAGGCUUAACCUUACAACGCCGAAGCUGUU